AUUGAACGCUGGCGGCAUGCCUUACACAUGCAAGUCGAACGGCAGCACGGGAGCAAUCCUGGUGGCGAGUGGCGGACGGGUGAGUAAAGUAUCGGAACGUGCCCAGUCGUGGGGGAUAACGUAGCGAAAGUUACGCUAAUACCGCAUACGAUCUAUGGAUGGAAGCGGGGGAUCGCAAGACCUCGCGCGAUUGGAGCGGCCGAUAUCAGAUUAGGUAGUUGGUGGGGUAAAGGCUCACCAAGCCGACGAUCUGUAGCUGGUCUGAGAGGACGACCAGCCACACUGGGACUGAGACACGGCCCAGACUCCUACGGGAGGCAGCAGUGGGGAAUUUUGGACAAUGGGCGAAAGCCUGAUCCAGCCAUGCCGCGUGCAGGAUGAAGGCCUUCGGGUUGUAAACUGCUUUUGUACGGAACGAAAAGGUUUGGGCUAAUAAGCUGAGCUCAUGACGGUACCGUAAGAAUAAGCACCGGCUAACUACGUGCCAGCCGCCGCCGUAA
rnacentral:rRNA from 1 species